GAAAAAACCCAUCUCCUUCUCUCUUUCAAUCUGUGUAAUAUCUCUUUCGCAUUGUAAUCCAAGUUUUGAAGUUCUCAAUAAAAGCUCUAUUAUUGAUUUAUUCUAUUAUGAAUAAAGGACCUCAAUGUCAAUCUAUCCUAAAGAUAAAGAUUCAAAUUUUGCAAGACUGUCUGGCACACAUGUGACACAAGCCGAGCCACAUCCACUUCUAAUCGUUUAAUGUCAGCUCAUCAUUCAAAAAGAUUGAAGACAAAUGUCAAAGCAUCAACGAUAAAGUCAAAAUGCAACCGACUGCUAAGGAUUCAAACGAGAUCAUGUGAAGACUUUCUCUCUCCUUGAAGCACGCUGAUUAACGAGGAAAAGUACAACAUGUCUACAUCAAAUUUCCCUAUUGUCUCACUUCUGAAAAGUAGCCAAAGUCUAUUGCCACCUACUAGCUGACAAGCCUCACCUUUUCGGUAAAAGGACAGACAUAAACAGUAGCAUGCAUUUAAUGCAUCUACCAACCGGAGCCAUUUGAAGCAACGGAUGUAUCUAUCUCACAACGGCUAGAACAACGGUUGAAAUUGUCUCACAACGGACACAACAAAUGCAAGCAAGUAUUUAAGGCGAUUCUGAAGAAAGAACAGAAGAAGAGUCAAGACCGAAAGAACAAGAACACCAAGCAUUCAUUCAUUCAUUAUUCUAAGCAUUCAAAGCUCUUCAAGUUCACAACAGAAAUUCUUUUAGUGUCAAAUCCUUGAACACCAACUCUGCAAGAAAAGAGAGAGAACCUAGAACUUUAAAUAGUCGAAUCUCUUCGUUUAUUUCUCUCUAAGAAUCAGAACUCUUGAGUGAUCCAAAGUCAUAUCUAAACCAAAACACUUAGUGUCACUGCCAUAAAUUCUCUACCAUCACUCUUGUAAGAAGAGAAUCUUUGUAGAACCAAACAAUCUUGUAAAGAUUGUAGGAGAAGUUCUGGACAAUACUUGUAGGAGAAUUCUUGUAGAAUACUUGUAGGAGAAGUCCUGGAGAAUACUUGUAUUGGAGAAGUCCUUGAUACUUGCUAGUUAAAAUCUUUGUGGUGGCCAAGUACUUGACGUAGCCCAUCGUUUAAGGGUGAACCAAUAUGAAUUUGUGUGUGUUGAUCGUC